CAACCUCACGGCCCUGGCCUCCGUCGGGCCUCGCAAGAAGAGACCAAUGGAGCAGACGGGAAGCCAGGUUGGUCUGCGGUGGAAACGUUGACCCUACAGGUGCAACGCGUUGUCCCGAGCCAUCUGCUCCAAAGAAAUGACUAAGAACAGAGCAACAAUGUGUCAAAUCCGAGUCAAAAUAUGAGUCUGCUGUCUUCCAACGGCGGGUAGGACGAGACGCCGGCUGCCUGUUUGCUCUUUCCUCAACAGCCACAGGGCUUCACCUCCGCUGGCACAGCCCACUCGCAUGACGGCUACCUAGAGGAGUGAUUGUGUUUGGAGUGAACGCUGUUACUGCACAUACUCAGACAGGAAGUAUUUGUUGAGGCAUCGUCCUUGAAACGAGGAUUGUUUGUCUCCAUAUUAAUUCAAGGACUUGGUUGACUUUGAUUUGUAGCGUGAAAGCACGAGGGCUGUGCCGAGGUUUCAGUGAAUGUCUAAAGAAAAACAAAAGAGAUGUGUCGCUCACUCUCUCUCACUCUCUCAGGUGACCCUGCUGCCCAGACCGAGCAUUCAGAGGGUGACCCGCGUCAUGCUGAGGGAUCUGCUGCUGUGUAUGGAGCAGGACCGCUUCCUGUGCCACUCCCUCCCUCUGUACAGAGCCAUGCCUGACCACCUCGCUGGGAAUGACCACACCACUACACCGCUCUCAUAUUAAUCUUAAUUAAACAAGCUUUGUUUGUUGUUUUUGUACUUUUGUUUCAGUUCUAUCAACAAUUCAUCUGUUUAUUAUCUACUAUUUAUUUUGUUGUAGGUGGAUCAAUGAUGGUGAUCAGCUCCUAGUUUUGAUUAAAAAUAUGACAGAAGAUGAAACACUGUUUACUGAAAAGAUUAGUUGAGUUCUAAGUUUAAUGUUGAGUGUUUCAUUAUUCUGCUUGUUUGUUUGACCAUUAAAAGAAGUGGACUGGGUCACAUCCUGA